AGAGUUUGAUCAUGGCUCAGGACGAACGCUGGCGGCGGGCUUAACACAUGCAAGUCGAACGUGAAGCCUGGAGCUUGCUCCGGGUGGAAAGUGGCGAACGGGUGAGUAACGCGUAGGCAACCUGCCCUCGAGUGGGGAAUAACCAUCGGAAACGGUGGCUAAUACCGCAUAAUGUCUUGUUUUCGCAUGGAUGCGAGAUCAAAGCUUUCGGGCGCUCGGGGAUGGGCCUGCGUCGGAUUAGUUAGUUGGUGAGGUAACGGCUCACCAAGGCUAUGAUCCGUAGCUGGUCUGAGAGGAUGAUCAGCCACACUGGCACUGAGACACGGGCCAGACUCCUACGGGAGGCAGCAGUGAGGAAUAUUGCGCAAUGGGCGAAAGCCUGACGCAGCCACGCCGCGUGGAGGAAGACACCCCUAUGGGGCGUAAACUCCUUUUAUGCGAGAAGAAAUCCCCGACAUGUCGGGGCCUGACGGUAUCGUAUGAAUAAGCACCGGCUAACUCCGUGCCAGCAGCCGCGGUAAUACGGAGGGUGCAAGCGUUGUCCGGAAUCACUGGGUGUAAAGGGUGUGUAGGCGGGAUAGCAAGUCAGAGGUGAAAUCCUGCAGCUCAACUGUAGAAUUGCCUUUGAUACUGCUAUUCUUGAGUAUCGGAGAGGUCGCUGGAAUUCGUGGUGUAGCGGUGAAAUGCGUAGAUAUCACGAGGAACACCAGAGGCGUAGGC
rnacentral:rRNA from 1 species